rnacentral:rRNA from 1 species
GACGAACGCUGGCGGCGUGCCUAAUACAUGCAAGUCGAACGGAAAGGCCCUGCUCUUGUGGGGUGCUCGAGUGGCGAACGGGUGUGUAACACGUGAGUAAACUGCCCUUGACUUUGGGAUAACUUCAGGAAACAGGGGCUAAUACCGGAUAGGAGCUCUUGCUGCACGGUGGGGGUUGGAAAGAUUCGGCGGUUGGGGAUAGACUGGCGGCUUAUCAGCUUGUUGGUGGGGUAGGGGCUUACCAAGCCUGUGACGGGUAGCCGGCCUGAGAGGGUGACCGGCCACAUUGGGACUGAGAUAGGGCCCAGACGCGUACGGGAGGCAGCGGUGGGGAAUAUGACAGAAUGGGCGGAAGCCUGAUGCAGCGGUGCCGCGUGCGGGAUAACGGGUUUCGAGUUGUAAACCGCUUUGGACGUUGACGAACAGGGAGUGACGGUAAUGAGUAAGGAAGCACCGGCUAACUACGUG